ACGGGUGAGUAACGCGUGGGAUCUACCCAUCUCUACGGAAUAACGCAUGGAAACGUGUGCUAAUACCGUAUACGUCCUUCGGGAGAAAGAUUUAUCGGAGAUGGAUGAGCCCGCGUUGGAUUAGCUAGUUGGUGGGGUAAAGGCCUACCAAGGCGACGAUCCAUAGCUGGUCUGAGAGGAUGAUCAGCCACACUGGGACUGAGACACGGCCCAGACUCCUACGGGAGGCAGCAGUGGGGAAUAUUGGACAAUGGGCGCAAGCCUGAUCCAGCCAUGCCGCGUGAGUGAUGAAGGCCCUAGGGUUGUAAAGCUCUUUCACCGGUGAAGAUAAUGACGGUAACCGGAGAAGAAGCCCCGGCUAACUUCGUGCCAGCAGCCGCGGUAAUACGAAGGGGGCUAGCGUUGUUCGGAUUUACUGGGCGUAAAGCGCACGUAGGCGGACUAUUAAGUCAGGGGUGAAAUCCCGGGGCUCAACCCCGGAACUGCCUUUGAUACUGGUAGUCUUGAGUUCGAGAGAGGUGAGUGGAAUUCCGAGUGUAGAGGUG
rnacentral:rRNA from 1 species